CUAGAUGGUGGGGUAACGGCCUACCAUGGCGAUGAUCAGUAGCCGGCCUGAGAGGGCUGACGGCCACACUGGGACUGAGACACGGCCCAGACUCCUGCGGGAGGCAGCAGCAAGGAAUUUUCCGCAAUGGCCUUAGGGGCUGACGGAGCAACGCCGCGUGGAUGAUGAAGUCUUUCGAGAUGUAAAAUCCUUUUAUGUGUGAAGACAGCCGACGGUAACACAUGAAUAAGCAUCGGCUAACUACGUGCCAGCAGCCGCGGUAAUACGUAGGAUGCAAGCGUUGUCCGGAAUUAUUGGGCGUAAAGGGCGCGCAGGCGGUUUGGUCAGUCAGUUGUGAAAUCUCCCGGCUUAACUGGGAGGGGUCAAUUGAUACUGCCAGACUUGAGGGCAGAAGAGGAAAGUGGAAUUCCCGGUGUAGUGGUGAAAUGCGUAGAUAUCGGGAGGAACACCAAUGGCGAAAGCAGCUUUCUGGUCUGCUCCUGACGCUCAGGCGCGAAGGCUAGGGGAGCAAACAGGAUUAGAUACCCUGGUAGUCCUAGCAGUAAACGAUGUACACUAGGUGUUGGUGGUAUUGACCCCAUCAGUGCCCAAGCAAACGCGUUAAGUGUACCGCCUGGGGAGUACGGUCGCAAGACUAAAACUCAAAGGAAUUGACG
rnacentral:rRNA from 1 species